GUUUCAUAGCAAAGAAGAGAGAUCAGUGUUGUAUAAAAAAUUACGUUACUUGAAAUUUAUUCAAAAUUCAUUCUGCUUGGAUAAUAUGGAUUAGAAAAAUAUGACCUUUGACUUGCAAAGAACUGCUCUAAACUUCAUACUUUUCAUGAUGCAUUUAUAGUUUUAUGAAUUACAUAGAGUGACCUCCACUUUCCGGCGUAUAUUGUGACAAGCAGAUUUACUUUUCUAAUGUUCAGUGACACAUUUAGAGUCACUUAUGCCACAGUGGUCUUCACUAUCUAGUUCUCUGGCUUACUGAAGGUGAGGAGAGUGAAAGUGUCUUUUUGUUUGAACUAGUAAUUAUUUUUCUUUAAAUUUUUUUAUUAGAUAUUUUCUUCAUUUACAUCUCAAAUGCUAUCCCCAAAGUCCCCUAUACCCUCCCCCCGCCCUGUUCCCCUACCCACUCACUCCCACGUCUUGGCCCUAGCAUUGCCUUGUACUGGGGCAUACAAAGUUUGCAAGACCAAGCGGCCUCUCUUCCCAAUGAUGGCCGACUAGGCCAUCUUCUGCUACAUAUGCAGCUAGAGACACGAGCUCUGGGGGUACUGGUUAUGAACUAGUAAUUUUUAAAACACAUUUAUAUUAACUAUUAUCUUUUGUACUAUUCUCACUAUGAAAAUUGAAUUUCAUUUUUGGGGUGUCCUCAGCCUCAUUAUUAAAAUAAUUUAAAAAUAUAUAGAAGGAAGCUCAAGGAUAGUUUUAUGAGAUUUGAAGAGAAAAACUAUAGUACAGGCAAGCUAACAUCUUAGCGGUUGCCAGCAGGAGUUAGGUGUAGAUAAAGUCUUACUUUAUUUGUUAGGCAUAAAGGUGAGAGAAAUAUUAAGAAAUACCAUCAUAUCAGGGGAACAUGCUUAAGAGUUCUAAUCCACAGACCUAAACUCAGGGCAUUCAAUUUCAGCCUCUGUGUUCAAGCAGUGAGAGUUUAUCCAGAACCCAUGAUUAGAAUAUAUUUAUAUUCUAAUGAAGAACAGAAAAGCAGCCCCAUAAUGGCAGUGAGGUAGCAAGCUAAGGAGAGAGACUGAAGAGCAUCCAGCUACAUGGUGAUUUGCCUGUUGUCCUCUAGGGAACCUUAUUUAUAUUUCAGGUUUUUAUUUUUUCCUCUGCACAUGCUAUGUUACUCAGAUUAAACAAAGGUUAGAAAAGGCUUCCAGGAUUUGUCUGAGAACUGGCUCCUUCCCUGUGCAGAAUUUUAACAUUUCUGUUCAGUCCCUCUCUACCAAACUACUAAUACUUGAAAAUCUUAUGUUUAAUUUCAUUAAGGCCCUGAAGGAGAUCUGAUUGAAAGGGAGUAUUGUGUAAUGAGUAAUUAAAAUUCUAGACAAUUUUCUAUUUUCUUUUUAUCAUCUUUAACUUUAGAACUAUAAUUUAUAAUUUUUUGGCAUUUAAUAAAACAAGUUUUGCAAUUGUGUAUUGCCAUGUUUCCAUACGGAUAUCAUAAGCUUGGGCCUUAGGGAUCUCUCUCUGUUUCAAUGUGUUGUAGAAUUUAGUUGGGAACACAAGAGCUUGAGUCCCAGGCUUUCUGAGUCAUAGUAUGACAUAAUCUUAGGCUGAUUUGUUUGCACAUUUAAGUUUGAGGAACUUUUCCCAGGGAGAUCUUUAUCUUAGCUGAUAUAUUAGUCCUGUAAUUAAAAAUAUAACUCUGUUUCACAGUAAAAAAUAUUCAAUGUUCAGAAUGAUCUUUAUUCUAUGUUCCCUUUUUACUUUUUGUAUAGGAUUUUUAAAUCAUAGACUAAAUGUGGAAAGUCAAGUUUCCCAAACCCAAAGCAAUAUGUGAGAAUAUUUUGAAUUGGCUAAUUGUUUCUUAGAGAAGAUUUACAGAUAAAUAUUUUUUUAAAUUUUUGAAUACAUUGCCUAGCUCCUCUCUGUAAUAUAUAAGAACUGGACACAGAACACUAGAUGCUGGGGCUGACAGGUAAGCUGUCCCUGAUGCUGAAACACUUGCCCACUAUUUACUGAUCUCUUAUCUCCUGGUGUUGAUAGACAAGGAUUCAUAUAUCAUGAGCACCAGUUCCACAUUUUCACUCAAACCAAGUAACUCCAAAUUCUCAGUGCAAAACAAAACCAUAAAAAUCCAAGAAAACAUGCCUCCUCCAAAAAUUAAUAAUUCCAUAAUAAUUGGCCCAAUGAGAAUGACCUCUCUUCUAGAAAAUCAUUUACAAAACAGCUUAUAACUGUAUUUGAACAAUUCAACAAUAUUAAAAAACAGAUGGGUAAGUGAAAUAGGAACAUCAAUGCAAGCUAUGAUAAUAUAAUUCAGUGAGGGCAUAUAAAC
rnacentral:lncRNA from 1 species